GUCCCUGUAGCUCAAUUGGAUAGAGCAACUGCCUUCUAAGCAGUAGGUUGUGUGUUCAACUCACGCCAGGGACG
rnacentral:tRNA from 1 species